AAUUUCACACCUGGAUAUGCUCAGUCAACCAAGAAUAUAGAGAGAGAGCUUCUGCCCUGAGAGGCAGAAAAAUAUUCUCUACCGCUUUUCUUCACUAUAGAUUUCCUUAGUCCCUCACCUCUGCUUAACAGAUUUAAAACGGGGG
rnacentral:lncRNA from 1 species